rnacentral:misc_RNA from 1 species
AAUUCGCCGUAGGUGAACCUGCGGAAGGAUCAUGAACACGUAUCCAACGUUAAAACCCCCCUGUGAACUAUUGCCGUGCUCUCGUAGACCUUCUGGUAAAUCAGCGUUUGAUUGAGGGACCUCUGUUUGAGAGGGUACGAAUGUUGCGCUGGCUUGCUCUCCCCAAGCAGUUCGUGGGUGCAAGUGCCACUUUCUGUGCAAGGAACACGCUUUACGGUCACUGGAGGUCGCGACCGGUGGACAAGUCUCAGGGCCAAAAGCCCCCUAAUCACCCCACAGUUUCUUACGAGCUAGCGAUCAAAUCCGCUGGUCAAAAAAACCCCGAACAAACAAUGGAUAUCUUGGUUGAC